UACGGAGGGGGCUAGCGUUGUUCGGAAUUACUGGGCGUAAAGCGCGCGUAGGCGGCUUUGUAAGUUAGAGGUGAAAGCCCGGGGCUCAACCCCGGAACUGCCUUUAAGACUGCAUCGCUUGAAUCCGGGAGAGGUGAGUGGAAUUCCGAGUGUAGAGGUGAAAUGCGUAGAUAUCAGGAGGAACACCCGUGGCGAAGGCGGCUUUCUAGGAUAUACCUGACACUGAGAAGCGACAGCUAGGGGAGCAAACAGG
rnacentral:rRNA from 1 species